UUUGGACCCAUUAAAAGAAUCGUGUGGAUGCCAUAAACUCAUUAUCCAUUUCCAAAAGCCCAUCAGUUUAUCUUGAAGGAAAAAAAAGAAAAAGAAAAAGCACAAGUAUUUAAGAAAAUAAAUUGAAGAGAAUCUUUAGUUCUUCUAUCAAGAGAAAUGGCCAGUAUGUUUAUAUGUAUCAAUUGCACUCAGUUCAAAUUCAACACAUCAGAAAGUGAAAAGCAACAGAGAGGAAAGACUUUUAGA
rnacentral:lncRNA from 1 species